rnacentral:rRNA from 1 species
GGGUGAGUAAUACAUCGGAACGUGCCCAGUAGUGGGGGAUAACCCGGCGAAAGCCGGACUAAUACCGCAUACGACCUACGGGUGAAAGCAGGGGAUCGCAAGACCUUGCGCUAUCGGAGCGGCCGAUGUCAGAUUAGCUUGUGGCGGGGUAAAAGCCCACCAAGGCGACGAUCUGUAGCUGGUCUGAGAGGACGACCAGCCACACUGGGACUGAGACACGGCCCAGACUCCUACGGGAGGCAGCAGUGGGGAAUUUUGGACAAUGGGCGCAAGCCUGAUCCAGCCAUGCCGCGUGCGGGAAGAAGGCCUUCGGGUUGUAAACCGCUUUUGUCAGGGAAGAAACGCUCCGGGUUAAUACCCUGGAGUAAUGACGGUACCUGAAGAAUAAGCACCGGCUAACUACGUGCCAGCAGCCGCGGUAAUACGUAGGGUGCAAGCGUUAAUCGGAAUUACUGGGCGUAAAGCGUGCGCAGGCGGCUUUGCAAGACAGAUGUGAAAUCCCCGGGCUUGACCUGGGAACUGCAUUUGUGACUGCAUGGCUGGAGUGCGGCAGAGGGGGAUGGAAUUCCGCGUGUAGCAGUGAAAUG